rnacentral:rRNA from 1 species
AACGAACGCUGGCGGCAUGCCUAACACAUGCAAGUCGAACGAAGGCUUCGGCCUUAGUGGCGCACGGGUGAGUAACGCGUGGGAAACUGCCUAUUGGUGGGGAAUAACGACGGGAAACUGUCGCUAAUACCGCAUAAGCCCUUCGGGGGAAAGAUUUAUCGCCGAUAGAUGUGCCGGCGUCCGAUUAGCUAGUUGGUGAGGUAAUGGCUCACCAAGGCGACGAUCGGUAGCUGGUCUGAUAGGAUGAUCAGCCACACUGGGACUGAGACACGGCCCAGACUCCUACGGGAGGCAGCAGUGGGGAAUAUUGGACAAUGGGCGAAAGCCUGAUCCAGCAAUGCCGCGUGAGUGAUGAAGGCCUUAGGGUUGUAAAGCUCUUUCGGGUGGGACGAUGAUGACGGUACCACCAGAAGAAGCCCCGGCUAACUUCGUGCCAGCAGCCGCCGUAA